rnacentral:rRNA from 1 species
CAAUAGCGUAUAUUAAAGUUGUUACGGUUAAAAAGCUCGUAGUUGGAGUUCUGCCAGGUGACGCUCGUCCGCCCAAGUGGUGUGUACAGGGCGUGCAUCUGGCCCUUUCAAGGGGAACGUGUCUGCACUUUACUGUGUGGUGCGAGAUCCUUGACUUUUACUUUGAGGAAAUCAGAGUGUUCCAAGCAGGCUCUCGUCGUGUAUAGCUCAGCAUGGAAUAAUAGCAUUGGACUUCGUUUCUAAGCUGUUGGUUGCAAGAAGCGAGGUAAUGAUGAAGAGGGAUAGUUGGGGGCAUUCGUAUUUAACUGUCAGAGGUGAAAUUCUUGGACUUGUUAAAGACGGACUACUGCGAAAGCAUCUGCCAUGGAUGUUUUCAUUGA